rnacentral:siRNA from 1 species
GUUACCCAGGUCCUGAGAUUGAUG